rnacentral:lncRNA from 1 species
AAAAAAUGAAAAUAAAUUGUAUAUUGGAAGUAAGCAAUAGUCUUAUGAAAUGGAUUAAGUUAGAUCCAGUUAUCCUUUUAUUUUGACAACCAACAGAUUUUUACAAAAUAUAUCAUGUCUAUAUUUUACAAAUAUUAAAUUUUUUCCAAAAAAGUAGCUUUCAACUCUAGAAAAUUCUAACAUAGAACCAGAAGAAUGACUGCAGUAUUUAUGUAUUUUGAAAUUUUUUUCCAAUUUUGAUGAUCAUUAUUAUUUUUUUUUCAAACUUUGCUUUUCAAACUAAAGUACCCCAGGUUUUCUCCUUUCAUUUCAUAGAUAUUCGUUUUCAAAUCUUCUAAUGCCUAACACAUAGCACCACUUUGACAUUUAAUAAAUGACAACUUGGCUUUUAAAGUAGAAAAGUAGAAUCAAAGUUAGUUAGCUAACAGACACUGGCAGAGGUGUACACUAGGAUAAUAGCUAUGAAAAUGUGGGUCAGUUAUUUUACAGAAUAUCCUCUGAAACAUUUUGUGGUCUGUAUGCUAAAUUUGUAGUAUAACUUUCAAGUGAUAUCUAUUUAGGAAAAUCAAUAAUUUUAGAUUUUACUGUAGGCAGAUAAAGAAAAAUGAAUACACUUGAAUUUUAAAAUUUGGCAGUAGACUAUAAAAAUUUAAGUGCAGAAUAUCAUAGUUAAAAUUAACCUCGUCUGGCCUGUGACAAGUACAAAAUGGAAGCACUUUAUUCUUAUAUGAGUCAUAUUUAAAGCAAAACAAGUGUUCUACAAUAUUUUCAUUUCUAAUACUAAAAUUGCUGUUAUUUUAAUAAUAAUAAUAGAUAGCAAAACUGUAUUGAGACCUUAUUUUGUGGUAAACACGUUGAGUAUCAAUUAUUUAAACAUCACAAAAGCCUUACUAGGUGGAUAUAUUUUUAUCCCCAUUUUCCAAGAAGGAAACUGAGACACAAUCAAAUUAUUUGCAUAUGGUUUCAGAGCCAGCAAACUCUAAGUUAAUAUUUGAACUCAAAAUAGCAUCAGAGCUGAAGUUCUUACCUACUGUAAUGUACCUAGUGUUUUUGAUCACUUAUAGGGGUUUUUUUGGCCAUGCCUGCAGCAUAUAGAAUUUCCCAGGCCAGGAAUUGAACCCGUGCCAUAGCAGAGACUCAAGCUGCUGCAGUUAACAAUGCCUGAUCCUUAAACUGCUGUGCCACAAGAAAACUCCUAUAAAGAUUUUUUAUUUUUUAAAUUUUUUACAGUAUAUUUGACUUACAGUGUUGUACCAAUUUCUGCUGUACAGCAGAAUGAUCCAAUCAUACAGAUAUAUAUACCUCCAUUUUCUUCUUCUCCAUCUUUUUUUUUUUUUUUUUUUUUUUUUAUUUGCAGGGCUGCAGGUAAGACAUAUGGAAGCUCCCAGACUAGGGAUCAAAUUGCAGAUGCCGGCCUAUGCCACAGCCACAGCAAUAGCAGAUCUGAGCCGCAUCUGCAACCUACACCUAUGCUGUAGCUCAGGGCAGUGCCGGAUGCUUAACCCAAUGAGUGGGACCAGGUAUUGAGCAUGCAUCCUCAUGAAUACCAGUCGUGUUUGUUCCUACUGAGCCACAAUGGCAACUCCACCUUUGUUNUUUUUUUUUUUUUUUUUUUUUUUUGGCUUUUUGCCAUUUCUUGUGCCACUCUUGCAGCAUAUGGAGGUUCCCAGGCUAGGGGUCAAAUCGAAUCAGAAUCAGAGCUAUAUCCACCGGCCUAUGCCAGAGCCACAGCAACGCAGGAUCU